rnacentral:sRNA from 1 species
AAUGGAGGCUGGCUUCCUUGGCAUGUGGGCUGUGUAGGCAAGCAGAGAUGUGUGACUGUAGGGAGUCCUACCUGGGCCUAAUGAGAGCAACUGGAAGAGAGUCUUGACAUCUAGCAAAUCACUGUGGCCUUGGUGGUUCAAGCCGUCUUGGUGCCUUUGAGAUAGAAAAGCUGCUUUCCGCCCAAGGGAGGCAUGAGCUGUGGGCCCACAAAGGGAAGGUUUUGCAGGGCAUCAUCUGUUUGGGGACUCCAUGUGCAUGGGUAGUGUUAAACAGAAGGGAGGACGUGUAGGAAUGCCACCUUACCUUUAUGGCCUCAGGUUCCAAUCUUUGUAUCUGAAGAGACCCUGUAUCCAUGUGCACCUUUCUCACAACAUUGGAUAAGACCCAGGCCUAUCACAGUCUCUUGGGGCUCUUGGAGGCUCAGGCGUCUCUUUGGCCUUUUCCUGCUACAUGGAGAUAGCCCUUGGGGGCACAUGUAGACAGGUGCACACAUAAAGCGAGAGAGAGGUUCUCCAAGUCAGCUGAGCCCAAAGGUCCUUGUUUUCUGUCCCCACAUGGAUCAGGCCAAUGUGACUGGUACUGUGAAGCUGUCCAAGGUGAUGGGAGAAUGCAGAACGCAGGCGCAUGUCAUACAGCUGUUCAUGGCAAGUGCUUCCACCCCUGCUUGCUGCUCUGCAGGUCGGUCCGUGUCA